GUCCACGCAGUAAACGAUGCAGACUAGGCGUGGGUGGACUUGACCCCAUCCGUGCCGGAGCUAACGCGGGAAGUCUGCCGCCUGGGGAGUACGGCCGCAAGGCUAAAAACUCAAAAGGAAUUGACGGGGGCCCGCACAAGCGGCGGAGCGUGCGGUUUAAUUCGACGCAACGCGCAGAACCUUACCAGGGCUUGACAUGCUCCUGCGAGACCGGGAAACCGGGAAGCCUUCGAGGGAGAGCACAGGUGCUGCAUGGCUGUCGU
rnacentral:rRNA from 1 species